rnacentral:rRNA from 1 species
UGGGGAAUAUUGGACAAUGGGCGAAAGCCUGAUCCAGCCAUGCCGCGUGUGUGAAGAAGGUCUUCGGAUUGUAAAGCACUUUAAGUUGGGAGGAAGGGCAGUAAGCGAAUACCUUGCUGUUUUGACGUUACCGACAGAAUAAGCACCGGCUAACUCUGUGCCAGCAGCCGCGGUAAUACAGAGGGUGCAAGCGUUAAUCGGAAUUACUGGGCGUAAAGCGCGCGUAGGUGGUUGGUUAAGUUGGAUGUGAAAGCCCCGGGCUCAACCUGGGAACUGCAUCCAAAACUGGCCGACUAGAGUACAGUAGAGGGUGGUGGAAUUUCCUGUGUAGCGGUGAAAUGCGUAGAUAUAGGAAGGAACACCAGUGGCGAAGGCGACCACCUGGACUGAUACUGACACUGGGGUGCGAAAGCGUGGGGAGCAAACAGGAUUAGAUACCCUGGUAGUCCACGCCGUAAACGAUGUCAACUAGCCGUAGGAGGGCUUGUCCCUUUUGUGGCGCAGCUAACGCGAUAAGUUGACCGCCUGGGGAGUACGGCCGCAAGGUUA